rnacentral:lncRNA from 1 species
GACUAGCUCCUUCGGUGGGGUGACAGCUAAUACAAUGGCCAGCAUCAGUCCCUAUGGGGUCACUUAAGCAAGCACACAGUGGCCUGCAGCUCUGACGAUAAUGGCUGAGAGGGCCACAGACUAACUCCUUCAGUGAUGGAGCUGGAAGCUCAAAAGAAACCUCAAAAGCAUAGAAAACAUAGCGUAAAGGCCCAGGAGAAAUUUGCCAAGAAUUUUCCAUACAGGCUUGGAGCUCCAGACUUUACAUCGCCAUCCUACUUCCACCCAUCAGCCUUGCGGCCCCCACCAUACUACCUUUGGGAACUCAAAUUACUAAGCCUCCGCUUCCCCAGACAAGUUGACUAAGAAGAACUCCCUCCCCACGUCGAUGCAGACCACUUCUAAACCAGACCAGUGAGGUGAGAGAGUCAUCCAGGGCCCUGUCCUGGAACCCUACUCUGUGUGGCCUCUGUCCAUUGUCUUCUCCUCAGCAUGCUCUUGGAGCACCCACCAAGACUUUAGUGAGGGGAACAGCCUCUGUAGCCACAGGAAACCAGGAGCUUUCCACCUCCCUAUAAAACCACAUCAUACUAAUAAACUGCAUUUUCAAAUCAUGUUUCCCUUUGCACUGGUCACUUUACCUCUGUGAGCCUCUACG